rnacentral:rRNA from 1 species
CAGCCGCCGCGGGAAUACGUAGGGUGCAAGCGUUGUCCGGAAUUAUUGGGCGUAAAGAGCUCGUAGGCGGUUUGUCGCGUCCGCUGUGAAAACUGGAGGCUCAACCUCCAGCCUGCAGUGGGUACGGGCAAACUAGAGUGCGGUAGGGGAGAUUGGAAUUCCUGGUGUAGCGGUGGAAUGCGCAGAUAUCAGGAGGAACACCGAUGGCGAAGGCAGAUCUCUGGGCCGUAACUGACGCUGAGGAGCGAAAGCAUGGGGAGCGAACAGGAUUAGAUACCCGAGUAGUCCCUGUCUCUUAUAC